rnacentral:rRNA from 1 species
GACGAACGCUGGCGGCGUGCCUAAUACAUGCAAGUUGAGCGCUGAAGGUUGGUCCUUGUACCAACUGGAUGAGCAGCGAACGGGUGAGUAACGCGUGGGGAAUCUGCCUUUGAGCGGGGGACAACAUUUGGAAACGAAUGCUAAUACCGCAUAAAAACUUUAAACACAAGUUUUAAGUUUGAAAGAUGCAAUUGCAUCACUCAAAGAUGAUCCCGCGUUGUAUUAGCUAGUUGGUGAGGUAGAGGCUCACCAAGGCGAUGAUACAUAGCCGACCUGAGAGGGUGAUCGGCCACAUUGGGACUGAGACACGGCCCAAACUCCUACGGGAGGCAGCAGUAGGGAAUCUUCGGCAAUGGACGAAAGUCUGACCGAGCAACGCCGCGUGAGUGAAGAAGGUUUUCGGAUCGUAAAACUCUGUUGGUAGAGAAGAACGUUGGUGAGAGUGGAAAGCUCAUCAAGUGACGGUAACUACCCAGAAAGGGACGGCUAACUACGUG